UCACCUGACUUGGAGCCGUGGAGGGGGGAGGAGGAGUCACGAGGAGGGUGGCCCGGCCGGCCGAGCCCUCUGCCCUCCGCCCUAGCGAGCACCCCGGUCCUGCCCAGCCACGCGCGGUGCUCCUCGCCGUUCCCCUGCCUUCUUAGGAGCUCUGGAGGCCAUCGCAACGGGAGAUGCUCUCUGGGCAUUUGGGGGAAGAACUAGUUGUGCUCCUACAAUGGUACUCGCCCGACCAGUAUUUAUUGAUGCCCGCGAUGCCCUGGGGGGACAAGGGACACAAAACUGAAACCGACUCGGACCCUGCCCGCCCUCAAGUUGCUCGAAGAUUGAUAGAGAUCGGAUCUCUGCGACUUGUCCCUUGGUCCUGAUAGUGACGCUCAACAGCUCAGGUGACCGCUCUGCUCCACGGCAACUCUCCUCAUUGACCCCAGGCGCUCACUCUCCUUUCUGUGCUCACAACUUUACCUCACAUUUUCAGCUUCCCACGGACAAAAAUAGUAUAGAGAUAUUCGUCAUUUUUGAGAUCAGGAAAUAAAAAUAAAGAUUAAAGAUGAAAGAAAAGUUCUGGUGCCAAGAAGGAAGACAAGUGCUCCGCGAAUAUUGAUAAAUGAAGAUACCAUGAUUCCCAAAUACCAGUUAUCGUUUAAAAGAAAAAAGUCCAUAGAUUCCAUUCCCAAAGUUCUUACCACUAGAACAUUCAUAAAAUAGCCUCCCAUCAGAGCAUAGACUCCUCCUGAAGCACCCACAAGAUAUCUGAGUGGGUCAAAAAUGGAGCUGGCAAGGGACCCUAAAGAAAGAAAAACACAAAGGAUCAGACAUAACUGUAAGAAUCAUGAAAAACAAGUCUAUAAUGUAGAAGUUGGGACGUUUGGACCAUUACCAUAUUAACAAGCAACAAAUUUAUUCUGUUUGUCCCUUCCAUACUAUAAAGGUAUAGACGCGUGGGCUAACUACCUCCAUUUUUUCUGAAAUAUUAAACAACAUGAAGACAGAAUAACAAGAACAAAAAGCACAGACUCUGGAGCUCUGGAGCCAGAAUUACCAGCUGUGUGACUUGAGCGAGUUUCUUAACCUCUCUGCGCCUUUGUUUCCCUAAAAAAUUGAGAUAUUAAUAGAACUUACCUCAAUGCAUUGUCGGGGAAGUAAAUUAGUUGAUGUAAACACUGCCUGACGUGUUAUGUACUUAUUAGUUAUUGUUUCAAAAUAUUGCAUACCUUUAGCCAAAACUAUCAAAAUACCUGAGACAUUCCAACAUUUUUUAAAAUGUUUGUUUACUUUUGAGAGAGAGAGAGAGAGAGAGAGAGAAAGCAAGAGGAGCAGAGAGAGAAGGGAACAAGCUCUGCCCUGACAGCAGGGAGCCUGGUGCAGGGCCCAAACUCAUGAACCCAGAGACCAUGCCAUGAGCCGAAGUCGGACACUCAACCGACUGAGCCUCCCAGGCUCCCCGAUAUUCCAACAUUUUGUUAUCUAAUGGCUAGCUUUCUCAUGGAGUCAAGAUGUGGCCUCAGAACCCUUCUCAACACAGCAUUCAAUCAGAUCCACCAAGAAAGAUGAAACUGUUUACUAACCCAAACAAGACUUUAAAACCACUUUAUGCAAACUCUAAGAUGUUCUCUCUGUACCGCUCGGUUCUACUACUCAAUUUUUUGCUUUGAAGACCCUCCUUCAUUCCUUAGGAUACUAUGUAAUAGCUACAUAGUGCAAGAAGGACAAAGUGGCCUUAGGAAUCCUACAAACAGAGGAGUAAACAAUUACCAUAAGAUGCAGAAUAAAACAACUACUGUGAUUUCUUAAAUGUAAUGAAUUUGCUAUGGAAGCACUUAGGAAGGAAUGACUUUUUCAGCAGAGGUGUGGAGGCCCUGGCACUCUGAGAAGGAGGAGAUAACAUUUUGGUUAAACUCUAAAAUAUCUUUGGGGCACCUGGGUGGUUCAGUCGGUUAAGCACCGACUUCGGCUCAGGGCAUGAUGUCACUGUUCGGAAGUUCGAGCCCCACGUCAGGCUCUGUGCUGACAGCUCAGAGCCUGGAGCUUGCUUCAGUUUCUGUGUCUCCCUCUCUCUCUGUCCCUACCCUGCUAGCAUUCUGUCCCUCUCUCUCUCUCUC